rnacentral:rRNA from 1 species
GACGAACGCUGGCGGCGUGCUUAACACAUGCAAGUCGAACGGAAAGGCCCUGCUUUCGUGGGGUUCCCGAGUGGCGAACGGGUGAGUAACACGUGAGUAUCCUGCCCUUGACUUUGGGAUAACUUCAGGAAACUGGGGCUAAUACCGGAUAGGAGCUCCUGCUGCAUGGUGGGGGUUGGAAAGUUUCGGCGGUGGGGGCUGGACUCGCGGCUUAUCAGCUUGUUGGUUGGGUAGUUGCUUACCAAGGCUUUGACGGGUAGCCGGCCUGAGAGGGUGGCCGGCGACAUUGGGACUGCGAUACGGCCCAGACGGGAACGGGAGGCAACAGGGGGGAGUAUGGCACAGUGGGCGGGAGCGUGUGACGAAAGCGCCGCGUGUGGGAAGACGUUUUUCGGGUUGUGAACCGCUGUAGGCUGAGACGAAGCGGGUGUGACGGUAAUGAGUAAAGAAGCACCGGCUAACUACGUG